rnacentral:tRNA from 1 species
GCAGAGGUAGCCAAGCGGACGACGGCGCCGGCCUUGAGAGCCGGUGGAGCACCAGCUCUUCGGGAGUUCAAAUCUCCCCCUCUGCG